rnacentral:rRNA from 1 species
AGCAGCCGCGGUAAUUCCAGCUCCAAUAGCGUAUAUUAAAGUUGUUGCAGUUAAAAAGCUCGUAGUUGAAUUUCGGGGUCUGUCCGUCGGUCGGGCUUCACGGUCCGUACUGGUGUGAUGGGUUCCUACCUUCUGAAUAACCGGCAUGCCAUUCAGUUGGUGCGCCGGGGAAGCAGAGCUAUUACCUUGAAAAAAUUAGAGUGCUUAAAGCAAGCUAGUGCUUGAAUAGAUUAGCAUGGAAUAAUAAAAUAGGACGGCAUGGUUCUAUUUUGUUGGUUUCUAGGAUCACCGUAAUGAUUAAUAGGGAUAGUUGGGGGCAUUAGUAUUCAAUUGUCAGAGGUGAAAUUCUUGGAUUUAUUGAAGACUAACUUCUGCGAAAGCAUUUGCCAAGGAUGUUUUCAUUAAUCAAGAACGAAAGUUAGGGGAUCGAAGACGAUCAGAUACCGUCGUAGUCUUAACCAUAAACUAUGCCGACUAGGGAUCGGACGAUGUUAAUUUUUUAAUGACUCGUUCGGCGCCUUACG